UGAUUCUCCACCCUGCUCCUGCAGCGUUGAGGCUUGGUGAAGAAGUCACAGCGCUCAGAGGGAGGUUCAGCCUUUCUGCCUUGUGCCACUGGACAGAUGAUCCCUGCAUUUGACCCAAACUUGAUUGCUUGGUGCCAGAAGCUCCCUCAUUAACCCUCUUUGGACUCCUAUGAUCGUUUACGAGGCCUGGCCAAUGGAUCUCCUUUCUAACAGGUUC
rnacentral:lncRNA from 1 species